rnacentral:rRNA from 1 species
GAUGAACGCUAGCGACAGGCCUAACACAUGCAAGUCGAGGGGCAGCAUGGUAUCAGCUUGCUGAUACCGAUGGCGACCGGCGCACGGGUGAGUAACGCGUAUGUAAUCUGCCUGUAACAGAGGGAUAACCCGGAGAAAUCCGGCCUAAUACCUCAUAGCACAUAUUAUUCGCAUGAGUUUUAUGUUAAAGAGACUCGGUUACAGAUGAACAUGCGUUCCAUUAGCUGGUUGGCGGGGUAACGGCCCACCAAGGCAACGAUGGAUAGGGGUUCUGAGAGGAAGGUCCCCCACACUGGUACUGAGACACGGACCCGACUCCUACGGGAGGCAGCAGUGAGGAAUAUUGGGUCAAUGGGCGAGAGCCUGAACCAGCCAAGUCGCGUGGAGGAAGACUGCCCUACGGGUUGUAAACUCCUUUACCUGGGAAUAACGGGGCGCUACGCGUAGCGCUGUGCAUGUACCGGGAGAAUAAGCAUCGGCUAAUUCCGUG